GCCGCGGUAGUAUAGCCCGGCCACGUAUGCGGGCCUCUCGAGCCCGUGACCCGGGUUCAAAUCCCGGCCGCGGCACCA
rnacentral:tRNA from 1 species